rnacentral:rRNA from 1 species
CUGAGGUAGGAGAAGAGUUGGCAAAUCCGCUCUUUAAUCUGAAGACGUGGUGUGGACUGAAAAUAAGUAGGGAAGCACGUGAGCUGACUGUCAAGAAAAGCCGCUAUUGUUUGCAGGAUACCCGUACCGUAAACCGACACAGGUGGAUGAGGAGAGAAUCCUAAGGCCGACGGGAGAAGCAUUGUUAAGGAACUCGGCAAAAUGACUCCGUAACUUCGGGAGAAGGAGUGCCAGUAAGAUGGCCGCAGAGAAUUGGCCCAAGCAACUGUUUAGCAAAAACACAGGUCUAUGCAAAACCGAAAGGUGAGGUAUAUGGGCUGACGCCUGCCCGGUGCUGGAAGGUUAAGGGGAGAGGUUAGCGCAAGCGAAGCUUUGAACUUAAGCCCCAGUAAACGGCGGCCGUAACAAUAACGGUCCUAAGGUAGCGAAAUUCCUUGUCGGGUAAGUUCCGACCCGCACGAAAGGCGUAAUGAUUUGGGCACUGUCUCAACAAUGCACCCGGUGAAAUUGAAAUACCAGUGAAGAUGCUGGUUACCUGCGCCAGGACGGAAAGACCCCAUGGAGCUUUACUCCAGCUUGAUACUGGGAUUCGGUAUUGCAUGUACAGGAUAGGUGGGAGGCUAGGAAAUGGUAACGCCAGUUGCCAUGGAGCCAAUGUUGGGAUACCACCCUUGCAGUACUGGGUUUCUAACCAGCAGCCGUGAUCCGGCUGGGGGACAAUGUCAGGUGGGGAGUUUGACUGGGGCGGUCGCCUCCGAAAGGGUAUCGGAGGCGCUCAAAGGUUCCCUCAGAAUGGUUGGAAACCAUUCGAAGAGUGCAAAGGCAGAAGGGAGCUUGACUGCGACACCGACGGGUGGAGCAGGUACGAAAGUAGGACUUAGUGAUCCGGUGGUAUAAAGUGGGAUUGCCAUCGCUCAACGGAUAAAAGCUACCCUGGGAUAACAGGCUUAUCACUCCCAAGAGUUCACAUCGACGGAGUGGUUUGGCACCUCGAUGUCGGCUCAUCGCAUCCUGGGGCUGAAGUAGGUCCCAAGGGUUGGGCUGUUCGCCCAUUAAAGCGGUACGCGAGCUGGGUUCAGAACGUCGUGAGACAGUUCGGUCCCUAUCCGGCGUGGGCGUAAGAUAUUUGAGAGGAGCUGUCCUUAGUACGAGAGGACCGGGAUGGACUGGCCGCUGGUGUAUCUGUUGUCUUACCAAAGGCAUAGCAGAGUAGCCAAGCCGGGAAGGGAUAAACGCUGAAGGCAUCUAAGCGUGAAGCCCCCCUCAAGAUGAGAUAUCUCAUAACGUCAAGUUAGUAAGACCCCUUGAAGACGACGAGGUAGAUAGGGCAGAGGUGGAAGUGUGGUAACACAUGGAGCUGACUGUUACUAAUAGGUCGAGGGCAUAACCG